CAAGCAUCUGUUUGGAAGUUUUCUUAUGAUGAAGAAUUUGUCAGUCAAAUUGAAAAGGAUUAUAUUGCUGAUGAGGCUCAUAGUCUUCCUCCCAUUCAAAAUGCUGUUGCUGAUCAUGUUGAUACUUCCAUGGAGUCCUUAUCUGCAUUUGGAGAAAAUGAUCCUGACAAGAGUUUGGCCAAUACCCCAUCAAAGAGUGUUUCUCAUGGUGUUAAUGCUGAAGAAUCGGAUUGUCAGCUUUUAGGACUUACACAAUAUUCAGGAACCAAGCCACCCAAAAAAGUGAAGAUUGAACCAAAUGCUUGAAGACUUCAUCAACUUUUGUA